AAGCCACUAAGUUGUGGCGGAAUGUUUUCUGGUGUUCUUGGACUGCAAUUAUGCACUAUUAAAGUAGUGGCCUGCUACAUAACUGCAUUUAGCCAGCAUUUCUGCAGUGCGUAACUGUGAGGAACGUAGUACCGCAAAUGGCAAUGGACAUUAGGACCCGGAUGUAGUAUUCCUGCUUGCUCCAAGAUUCUCAUUGCCGACUGCAUACAGGUAAGAAUGAUUGAUGUUGGCUGAUGUUGGAGUGCUCGUUCACAUGAAGUGGAUAGAUACUUCUCAAGACAUCACACAGCGUGAGUCAAUCAAGGAGGGAAGCCACAAGCAGACUGACAAUGUUUCUAGCAGGAUCAGGUGAGCUGUGUCCAGAAAACCAACGAGAAGGAGUGGAAGGAGGAAUGAACGUUUCGUUCUCGUUAAUAAAGGCAUUAUCCUAAUUA
rnacentral:sRNA from 1 species